rnacentral:rRNA from 1 species
UAACUAGGAUUCCCCCAGUAACUGCGAGUGAAGAGGGAAGAGCUCAUCAUUGGAAUCUGGCAGUGUUGCACUGUCCGAGUUGUAGAUGAGGAGUAGUCCGUCUGGACUGCAUGGCGUCCAAGUACAAUAGGCCGUCAGUGGGACAUCAUAGAGGGUGACAAUCCCGUCCUUGAUGCCAAUGUGCAAGUCCGUUACGAUGGCUAUCUCAGAGAGUCGAGCAGUUUGGGAUUUGCUGCUUAAACAUGGGAGGUAGAUUCCUUCUAAAGCUAAAUACAGGCGAGAGACCGAUAGAGAACAAGUACCGCAAGGGAAAGAUGAAAUAGAACUCUGUGAAGGGAGUCAAAAGGCGUGAAAUUGUUGCGAGAGAAGCGAUUCAAGUCAGCGUAGCUAGGCCCAUCAAGCGUCUUCGCUUUGGACUAGCUUUGCCAGCGGUCUUGUCCUUAGAGACUUGACUUUGUAUAUGUGUCCAGCCUGGUAUGCACAGGUAGCCCCUCUGGGGGCCAGUGGCACAGCUGGUGGAAUGGCUUGCAAUCGACCCGUCUUGAAACACGGACCAAGGAGUCUAACAUGUAUGCGAGUAUAAGGGUGGCAAACCCGUAUGCGCAAUGAAAGUGAUUUUCGGUGAUUGAGAAUGGCCUGAUGACCAGACAAGCAAUAC